UACGAAGGGGGCUAGCGUUGCUCGGAAUCACUGGGCGUAAAGCGCGCGUAGGCGGAUCGUUAAGUCGGGGGUGAAAUCCUGGAGCUCAACUCCAGAACUGCCUUUGAUACUGGCGAUCUUGAGUCCGGGAGAGGUGAGUGGAACUGCGAGUGUAGAGGUGAAAUUCGUAGAUAUUCGCAAGAACACCAGUGGCGAAGGCGGCUCACUGGCCCGGUACUGACGCUGAGGUGCGAAAGCGUGGUGAGCAAACAGG
rnacentral:rRNA from 1 species